AGGUCCAUUCUAAUUCCCUGCAGGUCAGUGCCAGUACCUGCUGGGAUUCGCUUGUGGACCACAUUAAACUGGAAAACUUAAGCAUGCAUGAGCUUACCAGUAGUCUGCUCUGACAUAGUUUUCUGGACAUGU
rnacentral:snoRNA from 1 species